CUGGAAGGGGUGAGAGGAGGGAGUGUUUCCUAGAAGCACGAGAGAAGCUCAGCUGCAAGUACGACUCACACCUUCACUAGAGGAAGCUGGUCACUGCCAGCACUCUACCCAGCAGAGAGGAGGCCAGAGGAACAUGUAGACCUGCUCUGCUCUUCUGCUCUGCUGUGGUGCAGCUCGGUGGCAGAGGAAGCCAGGUCCUCAAUGCUGCCUUCAGAGAAGCAACCGAACAUCCUGGGAUUUCUUGGUCACGUCAGUUUUGAGUGUUCUGCUCCUUUGUUGCCUCCCCAGGGCAUCUGGACCUGGGCCUGGGAUGUUGGUGGAUAUUAAGGCCCAUCAGGGGUUUUGGACCCCUACGUGCAGCUGACCCCUGGGCCUCUCCAUCCGAAGCAUCCACACUCUCAUCAGAUGCGGCAUGCUUGGCUGUCGAUACCGUCUUCCCAGGAGCAUCAUGAAAAUGUUCUCCAGCAUCUGGAAGGGCAUUUUUGGCCAAGAUCUGUGAGCACUGAUUGGCUGGACCAGGUGGGAAGGGUAGCAACUGGAAUGGAUACAGGAAAAGGAGAGGUUGUUCUGUUUCUCCUCUGCUACCUACUUCCUGCCUCUAACAGACCAGCUUCAUGUUAUGAGGGUUGGUAAAAACCAUCAGGAAGAGGUACAUCCCUGGUGGUCAGU
rnacentral:lncRNA from 1 species